AGCAUAUAAUUAAGCGGAGGAAAAGAAACUAACUAGGAUUCCCUCAGUAAGGGCGACUGAAGCGGGAAGAGCUCACCGUGUGAAUCUGUACAGGCUUGUCCUGUGCCGAGUUGUGGUCUGUAGAAGUAUUGUCGGUCAGCGUUCCGGGCCAAGUCCCUUGGAAAAGGGCAGCUGAGAGGGUGAGACUCCCGUUCUUGCCUGGAAUGUGUGAUCAUGGCACAAGCUUUCAACGAGUCGAGUUGCUUGGGAUUGCAGCUCAAAGUGGGUGGUAAAUUCCAUCUAAAGCUAAAUAUUGGUGGGAGACCGAUAGCGUACAAGUACCGUGAGGGAAAGAUGCAAAGAACUUUGAAAAGAGAGUUAAAGAGUACCUGAAAUUGCUGAAAGGGAAGCGAAGGAAACCAGUGCUUAUUCUAUGCCAUUCUUCUCUUGUUGCUUGCGACAGGAGCGCUGUGGUUUAGUAUGGGCCAGCAUGGGUUUGACUCGGAAGAAAUGGCUUUGUGGGAGGUAGGUUCUUUUCGAACUGAAGACCACUUUGUUCUAUUCUGGGUUGGAUCGAGGCUAGUCACUUGUGCUCGUGAUGCUGGCGAAAUGGUUUUCUUUACCCCGUCUUGA
rnacentral:rRNA from 1 species